AAUUUAGUUGAACAAAUCCGUAUUUGUUAGAGUUGCACACCACCCCAGGAAAAAUUAGUAUAACUUGUGAUGUAGCUGAGCUCUAAAGGCCAUAAAACCUACCACUGUGGGUGAUAUAAUUUCUAGGCAGAAACUCUUUCUGAAGUUCAAUGUUGGAAAGAGAAAUGUCCAGAUGGGGGCGGCAGGGGAUGAUAGAAGGGGUAUGGGGUGCGGUGGGGAGUCAGAGGACCUAAACAAACCCCAGGCACUUCCAAGAGUCAUAACAAUGACCAAGGGGAGGAGUUUCAGGACCCGGGAUGAGGAUGUGUGUUCCUCAGGAAGGACAACCAUUGACACGUGAGGGACAGCCACCACAUUUGGAAACCAGAGUGCCUGUCGGCGCAAACCCACCCGGUCUCCCUCUCUGCCGGGCCUGUGGUGUUUGGAGGAGCCAGGGAGUGGUGGGCUGGGUCCCCUGUGGGAGACUCCAGGGCUCCAGCCUGGCUCCCUGGGGCUGCAGGGUGGGCAGCCCGUGAGGCAGCCCCCGGAUGCCUGGUUUGCUCUGUGCCCCGGGGACGGAUAACUCUGUGUGCUCAAUUCACCAAGUCAGGAAGGGAUGUCCAGACAUUCCUCUGUGGCAGUCACGUGCCUUAGGCUGAGUGAGAGGAAAGGGGUGACACGUGUGUCCGGGAUGACUUAGUCACAGUGCAAAAUCAGCCCCAUCUUGAGGGCCUUUGAAGAUACGGCAGCUGGCUGCUGACUUCAAAUCUGUGGCUGUUUCCCGAAGCCUCUGACUUGUGGCCCGACUGGUCGGUUUUGCUGAAAAGGCCGAGCGAGCGCCGGCAUGCAGUGCUGGCUCUUCAGUGUGAUAGUCCUAAACAGCCGGAAGUUGCGGUGAGGCAGAGUGGGGUGCUGGUGGCCUCCCGGCCAGACCCCCGCACACUCCACGCUGUCCCGCCCUGUGGCAGGAAGCCACAUCCUCCUGGGAAAGGAAUUGGCCAGAAGGACUCCAUAGUUCCACGGGUUUUUGUUCCGAGAACAUCAAUGUCCUGUCCAUUUGUGAACCUGGAAUUUGGGAGGAGGAUCUCCCAUGGUGACACUCAGAUACUCCAUUGUGAAAGACCCUGCUGUGUAGGGACAAGUUCAGCACCGUGUAGCCGCCUCCCUUCCUGGAAGGUGCCCUCUGAACUGCUCCUGUCUGCACUGGCCACAUGUGAGUCUCAGACCCAGCUUCCAAGUGCUCUUUGGAGUCAAGAACUGCACGCAGAACCUGGACCCCUCUCCAAGCAAAUCUCCCGCCCUUGCACUUCUGGUGGAUUCUGUCUCCUGCUCUUUUAUACUGCUCCGCUACAGCAGGAGGUCAUCUCAAAGUCCUCUUUGGAAAGAGAUUGGUGUAAAUAAAUUCAACAAGUAAAUGAAAAUAAUCCCGGGCUGUUGUUUAUGGCUCUGUGACCACUUUGCUCUUGCUCUUGGUCUCUUGGGGCCUAUGUCACCCCCAAAUUCCAGAGGAGGUUUCCUCUUGUCCCCACUUUGGGCAGCUGCAAAACAUCUUUCAAAGGUGUGGGAUAUGGAGCACUUUUAAAUAAGGCUUCUCAAGCUAUGCCCUUAGGAAACCAAAAUUCGUCCUUCAGUCCAUCAGUCAAUCAACAAACAUUAAUCGAGUACCUGCUAUGUGCCAGGCACCUGUCACGGGAUUAAAGAGGAGUCUAAGAGGUAAUUCAGACCCUCAGAGGAUUUCCAGUCUGGUUGGGGAAAUGUCCCUUCCUCUGGGGUUCACCCUCCUACUGAGCCUGCUAAAGAGCAUGUGGGUUAGCAACACAUAGAACUCACGUGCUGCUUGCUUCUGACACAUAUCAAUUGAGUUAACUUGGCCAAGUCACUUCAUCUCUUUGAACCCAGCUUUCUCAUCUAGUAAGUGAGGGGCCUAGAACUUACUUCAGAGACAUAUGGACCCCAUGCGUGCAAAGCUCUGGUCACCAUACCACACACAGUGGCUGACUAAGGAUGACCAAUGUCCCAUGAGCCUCUCCUCUCCGCCAGUGUCUGUUUCCUUAGCUUCGGGGACUCCGUGCUCUCUCUCUCUCUCUCUCACGUUCUCUCUCAAAUAAAUAAAUAAAUACAUCUUAAAAAAAAAAAGAAUAAUGCUUCCUAUUUUAAAGCCAUUAAUUUAGGUGCAUUUUAGCAACUUCUGCCUCCAUCCCAAGUAAAAAAAACCAAACCCACAAAAAAUACCCCAUAACUAUUAUAGCAACUCUCUAUGGGUUGUAAGUAUGUGUUUUCAAUGGCCGUUACGAUCCUGUUUCUACUCCCUCCCUCCUCAUCCUCUUCCUUCAUUCACAGGCACCCCCAAGUUUUCCUGUCACCAUUAAGCUGUGGAUUCCCAAAUUUUCCAAAGCUUUCCAAAGACCAGGAUGAAUGCACUUCAUUACAGAACUUAUAUACUAGAAGGCUAGGAACCUGGGGGACACAUGUGGUUUUAGGGAUGCCUGUGGGUGCUUAGGGGUGUGAUGUCCAGCGCCUUGCAUGUGGUCCGGUGCCCCCCCCAACAGCUUUCUGAGGAGGGUGUGCGUUUCCCCAGCAUUGAGGGGCAGGCCUUGUGUCUGACCACAUCAGCUUGGACCGUUGGGUGGUUUCUGCACUUGCUCUUGGUUGGACUAACUUCGGGGUGGGAGGGG